rnacentral:tRNA from 1 species
GCUGCGAUGGCCGAGUGGUUAAGGCGUUGGACUCGAUAUCCAAUGGGAUUUUCCCGCGCAGGUUCGAAUCCUGUUCGCAGCG